rnacentral:rRNA from 1 species
ACAUGCAGGUCGACGUAGCACAGAGAGCUUGCUCUCGGGUGACGAGUGGCGGACGGGUGAGUAAUGUCUGGGAAACUGCCUGAUGGAGGGGGAUAACUACUGGAAACGGUAGCUAAUACCGCAUAACGUCGCAAGACCAAAGAGGGGGACCUUCGGGCCUCUUGCCAUCAGAUGUGCCCAGAUGGGAUUAGCUAGUAGGUGGGGUAACGGCUCACCUAGGCGACGAUCCCUAGCUGGUCUGAGAGGAUGACCAGCCACACUGGAACUGAGACACGGUCCAGACUCCUACGGGAGGCAGCAGUGGGGAAUAUUGCACAAUGGGCGCAAGCCUGAUGCAGCCAUGCCGCGUGUAUGAAGAAGGCCUUCGGGUUGUAAAGUACUUUCAGCGGGGAGGAAGGUGUUGAGGUUAAUAACCUCAGCAAUUGACGUUACCCGCAGAAGAAGCACCGGCUAACUCCGUGCCAGCAGCCGCGGUAAUACGGAGGGUGCAAGCGUUAAUCGGAAUUACUGGGCGUAAAGCGCACGCAGGCGGUCUGUCAAGUCGGAUGUGAAAUCCCCGGGCUCAACCUGGGAACUGCAUUCGAAACUGGCAGGCUAGAGUCUUGUAGAGGGGGGUAGAAUUCCAGGUGUAGCGGUGAAAUGCGUAGAGAUCUGGAGGAAUACCGGUGGCGAAGGCGGCCCCCUGGACAAAGACUGACGCUCAGGUGCGAAAGCGUGGGGGAGCAAACAGGAUUAGAUACCCUGGUAGUCCACGCCGUAAACGAUGUCGACUUGGAGGUUGUGCCCUUGAGGCGUGGCUUCCGGAGCUAACGCGUUAAGUCGACCGCCUGGGGAGUACGGCCGCAAGGUUAAAACUCAAAUGAAUUGACGGGGGCCCGCACAAGCGGUGGAGCAUGUGGUUUAAUUCGAUGCAACGCGAAGAACCUUACCUACUCUUGACAUCCAGAGAACUUAGCAGAGAUGCUUUGGUGCCUUCGGGAACUCUGAGACAGGUGCUGCAUGGCUGUCGUCAGCUCGUGUUGUGAAAUGUUGGGUUAAGUCCCGCAACGAGCGCAACCCUUAUCCUUUGUUGCCAGCGGUUAGGCCGGGAACUCAAAGGAGACUGCCAGUGAUAAACUGGAGGAAGGUGGGGAUGACGUCAAGUCAUCAUGGCCCUUACGAGUAGGGCUACACACGUGCUACAAUGGCGCAUACAAAGAGAAGCGACCUCGCGAGAGCAAGCGGACCUCAUAAAGUGCGUCGUAGUCCGGAUUGGAGUCUGCAACUCGACUCCAUGAAGUCGGAAUCGCUAGUAAUCGUGGAUCAGAAUGCCACGGUGAAUACGUUCCCGGGCCUUGUACACACCGCCCGUCACACCAUGGGAGUGGGUUGCAAAAGAAGUAGGUAGCUUAACCUUCGGGAGGGCGCU